CGGAGUGGACGUAUCUCUGGUGUUCCGGUUGUCACGCCAGUGGCAUUGCCGGGUAGCUAUAUACGGACGGGAUAACCGCUGAAAGCAUCUAAGCGGGAAGCCCCCUUCAAGAUUAGGUUUCUCUGGACCCUAGAGGUCCCUGUAGAGCCCUCGAAGACUACGAGGUUGAUAGGCUGGGUGUGGAAGUUCAGUAAUGGAUGAAGCUAACCAGUACUAAUUGCUCGUGAGGCUUGGCCAU
rnacentral:rRNA from 1 species